AGGUCAGUAUUGUACAAUUGAAAUUGAUGAGUGCCAAUCAAAUCCAUGUCAGAAUGGUGCCACUUGUGUAGAUGAGGUCUAUGGCUACAACUGUCAGUGCAGAAUAGGGUACAUAGGUCCAAAUUGUCAGCUUGAUGUGGAUGAAUGCGCUACUAAUCCUUGUCUAUUUGGAAUAUGUACUGAUUUCAUUGGUUUCUACACGUGCCAGUGCUUUGCUGGCUACCAAGGUUUCAACUGCACAGAUGAUAUUAAUGAAUGUUUAUCAUCCCCAUGCAAUAAUGGAGCAGUCUGCACAGAGUCGGUCGUCAAUAUGUACCAG